rnacentral:lncRNA from 1 species
CAUGUAAAUAAUACCCCUACUUAAUUUUUUCAGUGGAAAAAAGAACAUAAGGACAUGAUAUAAAAGGUACUCUUCUGAAAGAUGACAGUGAGUGGGAGGAGAACCAAAGAGAAUCACCUUUCUCCAGCUUUUGCUGUGGGGCCAGGCACGCAAGUCCUCAAAGACCGCAAGACCAUGAUCAUCAGUAUCAGACCUGUGCAUUGCCAGAUUGCAGCAGGACAUGCCUGUUCCCCCUCAUCCUGUAUCUGCUGA